AAGUCGUAACAAGGUUUCCGUAGGUGAACCUGCGGAAGGAUCAUUAAUGAAAGUCUGGGCUUCGGCCCUCUCUCUUCUACACACUUGUGAACUUACACUGUUGCUUUGGCAGGUAUCCUGAAGAGCGCAAGCUUGAAUGGUUAAACCGAGAGGUGCCUGCCAAAGACAUUUACCCACCCUUUUUAUAUCGUCUGAUUUUUGUUUAAAACAAACUAUAAUAAAA
rnacentral:misc_RNA from 1 species